rnacentral:lncRNA from 1 species
GGAGAGAGGGUUGGAGAGCGAGAUUUCCUGGUCUCCCCGGAGGAGAGAGUCUCUGCAAUCUCAAGGAGGGUGCGAGUGCUGUUCUACUUGGUGGGGCGUCUCGCGCCCUCUGCGAAGUACCCGUUCUGGUGGCGGCGCGCGGAGCUGGGACGAAGGUGCAGCACGCCUGGGCCAGAGGUGUAUGCAAAAUUGAGACAACUCUCAGGUCGCCAUUUUAAUUGCGGCUUUCAACGGGACCGAGGCCCACUUGCUGCCCUCCAGGGCGGGGGAAAUCGCGCUUUCCGUUUCAGUGUCGCCUUUUCCCGCCUCUCGCCAGGCCCUAGGAAGGUGGGUUCCCAGGAUAGCCAAGCUGACGAAACAGGGCAAACCAGCGUGAAAGGCAAAGGCGCCCACCCCUGCCACCCAGUUCGGGGUGCCUCCUUCACUCGGGGUCUUUCUCCCUCUCCUUUCUCCGGCAUCCUGCGGGUCUCCAGCUCACUCAGCAGCCUCGGCGAGCCCAGACCGCGGGAAAGCCGGGGAGAGCCGGGAGCCGGCAGGGUGGCGCCUCCAGGCUGUGACCACGCUCGGCUACGGAAAGCCGCGGUGCUCUGGCCCUUCCUCACCUCUUGCCAAAUGACAAGUGUGUCAAGGCGCUCUCUGGGUUCAGUCUUCUUUCAUUCACAUUAGGCGGCAAGAGUCUCUCCUCCUCCCCCCCCCCCCCCCCGAAAAAUACUUUUUAAAAAGCAUUAUCCAACUGGGUCUCCCAGCGAAGAAACCCCUACAGCUUGUACGCAGGUGGGACUCCCAAGCCUUUGCUUCCCGGACCCUACUGCUGUUGUCCAGAUAGGGGCCAGUUUUAAAACUCCUGGUGUGUAGAAUACUUGCAAAGCAGUGGCACUCUCCGAUUUUUGCAAAUAGGAUUCUCAGGAAAGUUUGCUUUCCAUUUCAUCACCCUGGACGGUUCCUCGUCUCUCCGUUGCCCAUAACCUCCUCCCUCAAGCGGCAAGAAGAGUUCAGCUUCAAACGAAAAGCAAGCCAAGGCCACCUCAGUCCCUUCUCCCAGGAGAUUCCCACUUAAAACACCUGCUUGUUUUAAACGCCAGGGACUGAGUCCUGCAAUUUGUCCGGGAGUGUAGCGGGGAACAAGCGAGCUGGGAACUGGGGGCUUUGCUGGGGGAUUUGAGGCUGGGGAAGGGGGAGGGAGCAAAUGUCAUGGCUGGCUCGCUCGAGCAGCCAGGGAACCGGAGCUAAGCGUAUCGGGCUUUUAAAAUGACAUUGAUUGGGACAAGCUGUUCCCCACCCCAGUAAGAGUUAAUCUGCCUGUUAAUCAAGGCACUAAGGGGCUCAAUGCGAGUUUUAUUAGCGAUUGGAGCAGAGGCGGCAGCGAGGGAUCAAAAGCCGGGAUCCCAGAUAUUUGUCGGUGCGGUCACAAAAAAAAAAAAAAAAGUAUUUUCAAUUAGAGAACAAUUCGGCGCUUUUCAUCACUUUCUAACUCUGACUUGCAGAUGGUGACUUACAAACCUGGCUAACGCGGGAGACGUGGGGGGUGGGAGAGUAGGGGUGGGGGGAGGGAACUGAAGCCCGGCGUAGCCAAGAGGCGGGGGGCGGAGGGGGGGUGAAGCUGCGGGUUGGCUCCGCGGAGUUCCGCGGGGGAGAGUUCAAGAAUCCUCCACCUGGGGCCCCGAAGUCUGAGAUUCCUCCGGAGAGGAGAAAGAAUGAAAAAUAAAACAACAAACACCACCA